rnacentral:rRNA from 1 species
GAUGAACGCUGGCGGCAUGCCUAAUACAUGCAAGUCGGGCGAGCAGAGGUGUUUCUUGCGGCGGUGGGGUUAGCAACGCACAAGUAAGUGACACGGGGAUAACCUACCUAGAAGACUAGGGUAACUUAUAGAAAGCAGAGCUAGGAGCGGAUAGUAGAAUGAGCCCGAGGAGGGAAUAGCGUAAGAUGAGCUUGCUGUUGCGGAAAUAGGUAACCGCGGCGCAUUAGCUAGUUGGUAAGGUAACGGCUUACCAAGGCAACGAUGCGUAGCCGACCUGAGAGGGUGAUCGGCCACACUGGAACUGAGACACGGUCCAGACUCCUACGGGAGGCAGCAGUAGGGAAUCUUCCGCAAUGGGCGAAAGCCUGACGGAGCAACGCCGCGUGAGUGAUGAAGGUCUUCGGAUCGUAAAACUCUGUUAUUAGGGAAGAACAUAUGUGUAAGUAACUGUGCACAUCUUGACGGUACCUAAUCAGAAAGCCACGGCUAACUACGUG